rnacentral:rRNA from 1 species
CGUGGCCAACCUCCCCUUGGGACGGAAACACCCCCCGGGAAACUGGGGCUAAUUUCUGAUAGGUGAAGACUCCUGGAAUGGAUUUUCGCUUAAAGGGCGCCUAGGGCAUGCUCCUAGGCGUUGCCCAAGGAUGGGGCCGCGGCCGAUCAGGUUGUUGGUGAGGUAAUGGCCCACCAAGCCUUUAACCGGUACGGGCCGUGGGAGCGGUAGCCCGGAGAUGGGCACUGAGACAAGGGCCCAGGCCCUACGGGGCGCAGCAGUCGCGAAAACUUCGCAAUAAGCGAAAGCUUGACGGGGCCAUCCCGAGUGCCAUCUGCUGAGGAUGGCUUUUACCUAGUAUAGAUAGCUGGGGGAAUAAGGAGAGGGCAAGUCUGGUGUCAGCCGCCGCGGUAAUACCAGCUCUCCGAGUUGUAGGGAUGUUUAUUGGGCCUAAAGCAUCCGUAGCCGGCUGGACAAGUCCUCUGUUAAAUCCAGCGACCAAUCGUUGGUCUGCGGGGGAUACUGUCCGGCUAGGGGGCGGGAGAGGCCGUCGGUAUUCUUGGGGUAGGGGUGAAAUCCUAUAAUCCCAGGAGGACCACCAGUGGCGAAGGCUGUCGGCUAGAACGCGCCCGACGGUGAGGGAUGAAAGCUGGGGGAGCGAACCGGAUUAGAUACCCGGGUAGUCCCAGCUGU